GGAAUGAAACAAAACGAAAACAAAAAACCAGGGCCCCAGUAUUAGAGUUUCUAAUUCAAUAGGUACAGGAUGGGGCCUGAUAAUUUGCACUUUUAACAAGUUUCCAGGUGCUGCUGCUGCUGCAGAUCUGGGAACCACACUUUGAGAACCACUGAACAAGACAUUAUGUCAUUGGUCCCUAUUAAAAAAAAGAAAGCCAUCUUCAAAUGAUCUUCACACUGGCAGAGCCAUAAGCUGCGAUGGAACCUAACCUCUGUGCCCCUUCAAUGUGGAACAUGUGGUCAUCAAAGAAGAUGUGGGGCCGGAUCUUCACCAAGAUGGGACUUUUGGGGGCUCCAGCAAGGAAAAGAGCUUCGUCUAUCUCUAGACCCCAGCGUCGAAGGGUCUUCAGCACACGGGCGCCUGAACUGGCUGCACUCCUAGCUGUAACCAGCCAUCAUCCAUGGAAAGUCCAGAUUAGCCUCCUGGAUGGAUUUGUGAGAAGCAGAGCCUCUCCUCCAAGCCAGAGAAGCCAUUGUGUACCAGCUCGCCCUAUUAGCAUACCAUGUGCCCAGGAGUAAACAGUGCCCAGAGAUGCUCUCUGCACCACACCACCACUGCUGGGGUCGGGGAGCGGAGUUGGUGAUCCAGGAAUGUUUUCCUGUUUCUUCAGUGCCUCUUUCAGUGAUAUGAAGUUAAAACCAGAGCUGGCACAGAACACAUUUAAUAAGGAUACAGUUCGAGGAGAAGGACUGCCCUAGUCAAAGGGCUUUUCAGGAAAGUGGCCCUACUCAGACCCCUUCUACAGCUUUGGAAUCAGCACACGCGCUGUCAGCACCCACCUGCAGCAUAUUGAAAGCGUAUUGAAAGCAGCCAGGGUGGCAGCAAGGGGGCGCCACAGCAGAUACACGCAAGUCCCCAUUCUGCAUCCUCAGCCAGAGGUAGCAAACUGGCAGCUUGCUAGCUGGACCUGGCCUCAGGGUGUUUAGUUUGGCUCUCCCAGAGUUGGCCCACACAGUGUUUUAUAUUUGAUUUAUUUGAUUAUAAAAAUGGGGAGAUAUCACAUAAAUGUGUAAAUUUCCAAAAUCUUUUGAAAAACACUUGGGAAAUGCUUGGCUCUUUUCCUUUCAUUUGCAAAAAGGCUGUAAAAGAGCAGGUUUUGCUACCUUUUAUAGAAGCCUGGUAUGAUAUCGUGAUUUAGAAUAAGAAAUAUAUAUUUUGGUCUUUGUUCCCAGUUCCUGAGACAGGGCACCUAGUUCCUUGGAGUGUUCUGGGUGAUAUAAGCAUCUUAUUUUUUUUUCGAAUGAAGUAACUGUUAUCAACAGAAAGACCAAGCAUGAUUAGAAGCUUGGAAUUUGCACCCCACUUCCCAUCCUUCAUGAAGGAGAAAGGGGCUAGAGAUUAAAUUAAUAAUCAAUCAUGCCUAUGUGAUGAAGCUGCCAUAAAAAGUAUUGAACUACAGGGUUUAGAGAGCUUCAAGGAUGGUGAACAAGAAUACGUCCAUGUACCAGAAGGGUUGUGUACCCCUAAGUACAUGGGCACAGAAGUUCCUACACUCAGGACUUUUCCAAACCUUGCCCUAUAUAUGCCUUCAUCUGGCUGUUGAUUGGUAUCCUUUAAAAUAUCCUUUGUAAAAAAUAACAGACACAAAGACUGAUGAAACAGAAUAGAGAACUCAGUAAUAAACCCAAGCAUAUACAAUCAACUAAAUUUUGACAAGACCACCAAUAAAGCAAAAAUGGUGAAAGGAUUCAACAAGUGGAAAUGGGAAAAUUGGGUAUGUACAUGAAAAGAAUGACACUGGAUCCUUAAAUGGUAUCCUACACAAAAAUCAAAUCAAAAUGUAUUAAAAACCUCAGUAUAAGAUCUAAAACUGUAAAAAUUCCUGGAAGAAAAUAUACAGAGGAAAAGCUUCUUGACAUUGCCCUUGGCAAUUAGUUUUUGGAUUUCACAACAAAAGCUCAGUGAAUAAAAACAAAAAUAAAUAAGUGGGACUAUAUCAAACUAAAAAGGUUCUCCAAAUAGCAAAAGAAAAAG
rnacentral:lncRNA from 1 species